rnacentral:rRNA from 1 species
GCCCUUUUCCGGUUGAUCCUGCCGGAGGUUACUGCUAUCGGAGUUCGAUUAAGCCAUGCGAGUCGAGAGGUGUAAGACCUCGGCAUACUGCUCAGUAACACGUGGAUAAUCUAACCUAUGGUGGGGGAUAACCCCGGGAAACUGGGGAUAAUACCCCAUAGACUAUGGAUGCUGGAAUGCUCUGUAGCCGAAAGGUCCGCCGCCAUAGGAUGAGUCUGCGGCCGAUUAGGUUGUUGUUGGGGUAACGGCCCAACAAGCCUGUAAUCGGUACGGGUUGUGGGAGCAAGAGCCCGGAGAUGGAUUCUGAGACACGAAUCCAGGCCCUACGGGGGCGCAGCAGGCGCGAAAACUUUGCAAUGCGAGAAAUCGUGACAAGGGAACUCCGAGUGCCCGUAAAUUCGGGGCUGUCCAUCUGUUUAAAAAACAGGUGAAGAAAGGGCCGGGCAAGACCGGUGCCAGCCGCCGCGGUAAUACCGGCGGCUCGAGUGGUGGCCACUAUUACUGGGCUUAAAGCGUCCGUAGCUGGUCUGUUAAGUCUCUGGGGAAAUCUACCGGCUUAACCGGGAGGCGUUUCAGGGAUACUGGCAGACUAGGGACCGGGAGAGGUGAGAGGUACUCCAGGGGUAGGAGUGAAAUCUUGUAAUCCUUGGGGGACCACCUGUGGCGAAGGCGUCUCACCAGAACGGCUCCGACAGUGAGGGACGAAAGCUGGGGGAGCAAACCGGAUUAGAUACCCGGGUAGUCCCAGCUGUAAACGAUGCGCGUUAGGUGUAUCGGUGACCACGAGUCACCGAGGUGCCGAAGAGAAAUCGUGAAACGUGCCGCCUGGGAAGUACGGUCGCAAGGCUGAAACUUAAAGGAAUUGGCGGG